rnacentral:piRNA from 1 species
CUAAUGUAAUUGGUACUACUGCCUUGAUU